rnacentral:rRNA from 1 species
AAAGUCUGGCCUGCCCUAUGAAUAUUUUUAAAUGGCUGCGGUACUUUGACCGUGCAAAGGUAGCAUAAUCAUUAGUUUUUUAAUUGAGAACUGGAAUGAAAGGUUUGACGAAGAAAAUACUGUCUCAAUUUAAUUUAAAUUAGAAUUUUAUUUUUAAGUAAAAAAGCUUAAAUAAUUUUAAAAGACGAGAAGACCCUAUAGAAUUUUAUAUUAUAUUAAAUAUUUAGAGAUUUAAGUAUAUAUAAUUUAAAUAUUUAUUAUAAUAUUUAGUUGGGGCAACUGAAAAAUUUAAUGAACUUUUUUUAUAUUUUAAACAUUAAUUUAUGAUUAAAUGAUCCA